CGCGGGGGUGGGAGGCGGGCGGAGAAAGACCGAGACGGAGCCGGUGGUGGAAGGAAGCCAGCCGCCCUUGGAAAGUGGAUUGUCUUACUGAGACAGACGGUUAUAGAGAAAAGUUGCUGAAUAGGAGCGCUUUGGUUGUUUCAGGCAGAGGCGAGCUUUUGAGCUGAUUUGACUCGGCUUCCAAGCCCAGCGAGGACCCUGCGGGAAACCUCGGAGGUGUGUUCCAGUUUGGUAACCCGUGGGCGCUCUCACCUCUCAUCAAUGCGGCUGGAUAGUGAGGGGAGACACCAAGCUCAUUUGAUGGAUUGAAGAAAACACACCUGAACUAAAGCAUAGCAUGCUUUCGUCUUCAGUGUGGCAGCCAUCGAAGACUGAAGAUGUCUUCCAUCACUUCUGCUUCCCUCACUGGGAUUAGCUUCCAGAACCUAUAGACCAUUCAAUACCUCUCCACUGAGGGCAAAUUUCUAUUCUUUGAAGAAGCAUUUAGAAUCAAGACUGGUGACAAAAAUUGGUCAGGUGAUCUAAUUGUUUGGGGCCCCAAACUAAAUGUGGCUAAGAAGCAAUAAGUCCGGUUCUCUUAGGGUGAUAGGAUCGCAUCCUGAAUACUAUCUAAAGGGAGUUCCAAUAUGUUUUUGCAAUGGCUGCAACAUUGGAGUAAGUAGUUUCCAAGGUGGCUGCUGUGAGAGACAGUGCUCAUCUGGAUGGAUAGUUUCUGAAACAUUUUUAAACCUCAUUACUUGGGUCACAACAAAAGUACUGUUUUCCACUUGGAGAACAUCAAUCUGGAGUCUCCAGAAGGAGCAUUUUUUCAAAUCUUGGGGCCCUGAAGUUUCAUCUGUACCAAGAAGAGUGUGUAAGACCCAGAGAGAGGUGAGCCACGUUCCUCCAGUUUGUGGUUUCAGAGCUGCUGGCCCACAGUCCUGGAUGCUAGAUCUCAUUCAGUGUGACUCCAGGGAAUCAUUUCUUUAUAUCUUUUCCUGACCAUCCUCACAGCAUGACAGAGUACCAAAAAGGAAAGGGGACUUCUGCUCCUCGUAUGAUACAGAUAUCACAAGGAUAAUUUCAGAUUAUUUGAGCAAUCAUGACUGCUUAGAACUCAAAGGGACCUUAAAGAUCCUCUAGUCCAAAACAUUUUACUGAUGAAGAUGCUGAGGUGAACUGUCCAAAGUCACACAUCUAGAUGAUGGCCAAACCUGGACUAGAAUUCUGAGACCUCAGAAUCCCCUGUUUUGGGCUCUUUCUUGUGGACUCCUCCAUUUUUUGAGGAAGCACAGGUGGAUACGGAUACAGAAUGCAUUCCAAGAAGUAUGACAGCAGGCCCCUCCUGGAGCCCCCGGGACCCAGAGAUCCACCCAAUAGGAACCCACAAGUCAUUUUUAAAUAGUCAAAAAGCCCCAACAUCACCAUCCAUCUAAUAGCCAUACCAAGACUGCAAAGCAAACUGAAUCGACUGUCUUGGCCUCAGACAGAAACUCAAUCAGCUUUGUCUAUCAACUAUCUGGUACUUGUUAUCAGAGAUUAGCAGUCAUGGUUUUUUGUUCUUUUUAAAAUUGAGGUGUAAUUUA